rnacentral:rRNA from 1 species
CCUACGGGUGGCAGCAGUGAGGAAUAUUGGUCAAUGAGCGGGAGCCUGAACCAGCCAAGUCGCGUGAGGGAAGACGGUCCUCUGGAUUGUAAACCUCUUUAGGCGGGGAGCAAUGCCGGGCACGUGUGCCCGGAGGGAGAGUACCCGCAGAAUAAGCAUCGGCUAACUACGUGCCAGCAGCCGCGGUAAUACGGAGGAUGCGAGCGUUAUCCGGAUUUAUUGGGUUUAAAGGGUGCGUAGGCGGAUUGUUAAGUCAGCGGUAAAAUGUCCGGGCUCAACCCGGGCCGGCCGUUGAAACUGGGGAUCUUGAGUGAGCGAGAGGUAUGCGGAAUGCGAGGUGUAGCGGUGAAAUGCAUAGAUAUAACGAAGAACACCGAUGGCGAAGGCAGCAUACCGGCGCCAGACUGACGCUGAGGGACGAAAGCGUGGGGAUCGAACAGGAUUAGAUACCCUUGUAGUC